rnacentral:lncRNA from 1 species
GAGACAUUCCGGUCGGGAAGGGCAGGAGGUUAGAAGGUGGGUGCCCCGCCAGGGCAGUCCAGGGAGACCCAAGGACAGGAGACGCUGGCUGCACAGCACAGGGGCGCACGAAUAGGACGUUUUGUUUACAGGCUUUUGUUAUUAAGGAAAUUGGUGUCAGUCAAGGUAAUUCUAGCUCAGAUGAGCAAUAAAUAUGCUCCCAGCUA